GAAUUGAAAGCAGGACUUGGAGUAUAUAUUCGGAACAACACAAAGAAUAUUAGCAUGGCUCUGGUGUAAGGAUGACAGGCAAAUUCAUGAAGCAAUUAAAAUUUUA